GGGUGACUGCGUACCUUUUGUAUAAUGGGUCAGCGACUUAUAUUCUGUAGCAAGGUUAACCGUAUAGGGGAGCCGAAGGGAAACCGAGUCUUAACUGGGCGUUAAGUUGCAGGGUAUAGACCCGAAACCCGGUGAUCUAGCCAUGGGCAGGUUGAAGGUUGGGUAACACUAACUGGAGGACCGAACCGACUAAUGUUGAAAAAUUAGCGGAUGACUUGUGGCUGGGGGUGAAAGGCCAAUCAAACCGGGAGAUAGCUGGUUCUCCCCGAAAGCUAUUUAGGUAGCGCCUCGUGAACUCAUCUUCGGGGGUAGAGCACUGUUUCGGCUAGGGGGUCAUCCCGACUUACCAACCCGAUGCAAACUGCGAAUACCGAAGAAUGUUAUCACGGGAGACACACGGCGGGUGCUAACGUCCGUCGUGAAGAGGGAAACAACCCAGACCGCCAGCUAAGGUCCCAAAGUCACAGUUAAGUGGGAAACGAUGUGGGAAGGCUCAGACAGCCAGGAUGUUGGCUUAGAAGCAGCCAUCAUUUAAAGAAAGCGUAAUAGCUCACUGGUCGAGUCGGCCUGCGCGGAAGAUGUAACGGGGCUAAACUGUGCACCGAAGCUGCGGCAGCGACGCUUAUGCGUUGUUGGGUAGGGGAGCGUUCUGUAAGCCUGCGAAGGUGUCCUGUGAGGGAUGCUGGAGGUAUCAGAAGUGCGAAUGCUGACAUAAGUAACGAUAA
rnacentral:rRNA from 1 species